rnacentral:rRNA from 1 species
UACGGAGGAUGCAAGCGUUAUCCGGAAUGAUUGGGCGUAAAGGGUCCGCAGGUGGCAAUGUAAGUCUGCUGUCAAAGAAUGAGGCUUAACCUCAUCAAGGCAGUGGAAACUACAUAGCUAGAGUACGGUCGGGGUAGAAGGAAUUCCUAGUGUAGCGGUGAAAUGCGUAGAGAUCAGGAAGAACACCGGUGGCGAAAGCGUUCUGCUAGACCUGUACUGACACUGAGGGACGAAAGCUAGGGGAGCGAAUGGG